GUAACCACCCCAAGUCCCCAAUCCAUCCGGAACGGACCUAAAUAUCAGGGGAGACCGGGAGAGGGACGCGUUUGCACCGAGGGCGACCGGUGUGGGUGUAGGUGUGGGUGUGGCCGUCUCCUUCCAGAUCCCCCAGCCUGCUCCUCCUCUACCCUCAAACCCCCUUUCUACUCUCGAACCCUAAAUUCGAGCCUAACACCGUGCGCGCGCGAAGCAAUCUCCUCGAGGUCUCCGCCGAAGGAUCGUCCGAUAACCAGGGAUAUAAGCAAUCGGUGGAUUCUGUCGUUCCGAGUGGAUUGGUUGAAGGAAAAGUCUUCUUCUCAAUAGCAUGGGUUCCCUUUGCAGCGCCGGGCACAAUGAUGCUAGCAACGAGCGGAGCAUGGGAGGUCUUCGCAGAGUUACCCGUGAAAGAUCAGUUAGAGUGCAGUUUGGCAACGAGCAGAGCAUGGGAGGUUUUCCCAGAUUUACCCGUGAAAGAUCGGUUAGAGUGCAGCCUGGUGUGGACUGCUAUUCUCCGGAUAGAGCAACAAAGGACACCAGUCUACAACUUGAGCCACGUGUUCAGCCCGGAGGGGCCUUUUUCUUAGAACACAAAAGUUCUGUGGAUCGAGGUUAACCAGGGGGCUUUCUCGCGACUUAUAAGCAACCGCUGGUUUUUUCCCCUCCUGUGUGUUGUUCCAUUCUAUAGGGAUUUUGCAGUUUGUUUUACGCUGAUCAGUGAUAUUACGACUUUAAGAGGUGGUUUGGUUGUAUA